rnacentral:rRNA from 1 species
AUUGAACGCUGGCGGCAGGCCUAACACAUGCAAGUCGAACGAGUGGCGGACGGGUGAGUAAUGUCUGGGAAUCUGCCCGAUGGAGGGGGAUAACUACUGGAAACGGUGGCUAAUACCGCAUACAAUCGGAUGAGCCCAUAUGGGAUUAGCUAGUAGGUGGGGUAACGGCUCACCUAGGCGACGAGCCCUAGCUGGUCUGAGAGGAUGAUCAGCCACACUGGAACUGAGACACGGCCCAGACUCCUACGGGAGGCAGCAGUGGGGAAUAUUGCACAAUGGGCGCAAGCCUGAUGCAGCCAUGCCGCGUGUAUGAAGAAGGCCUUCGGGUUGUAAAGUACUUUCAGCGGGGAGGCGUUACCCGCAGAAGAAGCACCGGCUAACUCCGUGCCAGCAGCCGCGGUAAUAC